rnacentral:rRNA from 1 species
GACGAACGCUGGCGGCGUGCUUAACACAUGCAAGUCGAACGGAAAGGCCCUGCUUUUGUGGGGUGCUCGAGUGGCGAACGGGUGAGUAACACGUGAGUAACCUGCCCUUGACUUUGGGAUAACUUCAGGAAACUGGGGCUAAUACCGGAUAGGAGCUCCUGCUGCAUGGUGGGGGUUGGAAAGUUUCGGCGGUUGGGGAUGGACUCGCGGCUUAUCAGCUUGUUGGUGGGGUAGUGGCUUACCAAGGCUUUGACGGGUAGCCGGCCUGAGAGGGUGACCGGCCACAUUGGGACUGAGGUACGGCCCAGACUCCUACGGGAGGCAGCAGUGGGGAAUAUUGCACAAUGGGCGGAGGCCUGAUGCAGCAACGCCGCGUGGGGGAUGACGGCCUUCGGGUUGUAGGCCGCUUUCGCCUGUAACGGAGCGUGAGUGACGGUAGUGGGUAAAGAAGCACCGGCUAACUACGUG